rnacentral:rRNA from 1 species
GACGAACGCUGGCGGCGUGCUUAACACAUGCAAGUCGAGCGGUAAGGCCCUUUCGGGGGUACACGAGCGGCGAACGGGUGAGUAGCACGUGGGUGACCUGCCCUCAGCUCUGGGAUAAGCCUGGGAAACCGGGUCUAAUACUGGAUAUGACUCCAUGACGCAUGUUGUGGGGUGGAAAGCCUUGUGCGGCUGAGGAUGGGCCCGCGGCCUAUCAGCUUGUUGGUGGGGUGAUGGCCUACCAAGGCGACGACGGGUAGCCGGCCUGAGAGGGCGACCGGCCACACUGGGACUGAGACACGGCCCAGACUCCUACGGGAGGCAGCAGUGGGGAAUCUUGCGCAAUGGGCGAAAGCCUGACGCAGCGACGCCGCGUGAGGGAUGACGCCU